rnacentral:rRNA from 1 species
UACGAAGGGGGCUAGCGUUGCUCGGAAUCACUGGGCGUAAAGGGUGCGUAGGCGGGUUUUAAGUCAGAGGUGAAAUCCUGGAGCUCAACUCCAGAACUGCCUUUGAUACUGAAAGUCUUGAGUAUGGGAGAGGUGAGUGGAACUGCGAGUGUAGAGGUGAAAUUCGUAGAUAUUCGCAAGAACACCAGUGGCGAAGGCGGCUCACUGGCCCGUAACUGACGCUGAGGCACGAAAGCGUGGGGAGCAAACAGG